rnacentral:lncRNA from 1 species
UAAAAACUAGGUUUCAAACUUGAAGAAAAACAUUCCUCUUUUGGUCUUUCCUUUUUUCUGAAAAGGUGAAAAUGAUUUGAAGUAGAGGGAUUUCUUUGGUCUUCUUGAGUUGAAAUCUCUGGGUUUUGGAAGUUGAAAUCGGGUUCUGAUUUGGUGUUGUCUGUUGUUUGUUGUUGAUCACUAUCUUUAGACGAAUCAGUUUUUCUCUUGACCUUUAUUAAGUCUUGUUUGAAUCAUCUAGGUAUGUAACUAAGUUUCAGCUAUGAGAAUGACU